CAGACCCUGAAGCAUGAGGGAGAAAUCAAAGAAGAGAAAAUCAGCAAGAGGAUGAAUGCCCAGAGCUGCAUUGCAUCUGGGACAUGCUGCACCGGGCCUUGUGGAUAGAGCACCCAGAGAGAAAUACCAUAUUAUCCCCAUUUUGCAGAUGAGGAGACAGAAGUGGAGAGAGGUGAAGUGACUUGCUCAACAUCACACAGUUGCCUUCCCACGUGUGUGAGACCAUUGCUGUGGAAAGAAGCCGGGCCUGACUUCAGGGAUCUGGUGUGAAAUGACUGGACCCAUGCGUUCUGAGUAAACAAGAGAGCCCCUUCUGGCUUCUCCGGGAGGAACCAAAUGGCUUCAGCAUUCAGCUCCAAAGCCCGAUGGAGACCAAGAGUGAUACACUGUACUCAUGAUCAACUGCUCAGUUCUGGUUUGGGCCUCUGAGGGCUGAUGGGGUUUGGCAGAACCUCCAGCACAAUGUUGAAUGGAAAUGGUGAUAGUGGGCAUCUUGUCUUGUACCCAGUCUCACUAUGUGGAAGCUUCACUAUUUCACAAUGAAGGCCCAGCACGGUGACUCAAACCUGUAAUCCCAGCACUUUGGAGGGCUGAGGCAAGUGGAUCACCUGAGAUCAGGAGUUCAAGACCAGUCAAGACCAGCCUGGCCAACAUGGUGAAACCCCAUCUCUACUAAAAAUACAAAAACAAACAAACAAAAAAAUCAGCCAGCUGUGGUGGCGCAUGCCUGUAGUCCCAGCUACUCGGGAGGCUGAGGCAGGAGAAUCACUUGAACCCAAGAGGAGGAAGUUGCAGGAGUCAAGAUCAUACAACUGCAUUCCAGCCUGGGUGACAGAGCAAGACUCCAUCUCAAAAAAAAAAAAAUUCACAAUGAAGUAUGUUGUUUGCUGAAGGUUUUCAUAGAUGCCCUUUGCCAGGUUGAGGAAGCUCCCUUCUGUUCCUAAUGUGUUGAGACUUUUAUCAUGAAUGUGUGUUAAAUUUUGUAAAAUGCUUUUUACGCAUUUAUCAUGAUUUUUCUCCUUUUUACUGUUAGGUGAAUUACAAUGAUUGGUUUUUGAUUGUUAAACCACCCUUGAAUUCCUGGAUUAAAACUCAUCUAGUCGUAAUGAAUUAUUCUUUUAAUAUUUUGCUGGACUCCAUUUGUUAAUAUUUUAUUUUACUUUAUUUUAUUUUGAGACAGGGUCUAGCUCUGUCACCCAGGCUGGAGUGUAGUGGUGCAGUCAUAGCUCACUGUAAGCUCAAACUCCUGGGGUAACAUGAUCCUCCCACUUUGGCCUCCCAAAGUGCUAGGGUUAUAGGUGUGAGCCACUGUGCCUGGCCAGCUAAUAUUUUAAAUCAUGCUUUUUUUGUGAUAAUUGUAGAUUCACAUGCAGUUGUAAGAAAUAAUACAGAGAUAUAUUGUAUCCUUUGCCAAGUUUCUCCCAAUGUUAAUAUCUUGCAAAAAUACAGUACGGUAUUACAACCAGGAUGUUGACAUUGAUUCAGUCAAGUUGCAGAACAGGCUGAGCUCAUGCCUGUAAUCCUAGCACUUUGGGAGACUGAGGCAGGAGGAUCGCUUGAGUCUAGGAGUUUAAGACAAGCCUGGGCAAAAUAGCAAGGUCUUGUAUCUACAAAAAAUUUAGAAAAAAAAAAUAGCUGGGUUGCCUGUAAUCCAAGCACUUUGGGAGGCCAAGGCAGGCAGAUCACCUGAGGUCAGGAGUUUGAGACCAGCCUGGCAAACACGGUGAAACCUUGUCUCUACUAAAAAUACAAAAAUUAGCUGGGCAUGUUGGCAAGUGCCUGUAAUCCCAGCUACUUGGGAGGCUGAGGCAGGAGAAUGGCUUGAACCUGGGAGGUGGAGGUUGCAGUGAGCUGAGAUCACGCCACUGCACUCCAGCCUGGGCGAAAGAGCGAAACUCACUCUCAAAAAAAAAAAAAUAGCUGGGUGUGGUGCUGCAUGCCUGUAGUCCCAGCUACUUGGGAGCCUGAGGCGGGAGGAUGGCUUGAGCUCAAGAGGUCACAGUGAGCUGUGAUCAUGCCACUGCACUCUAGCCUGGGCAAAACGGCAAGAUCCUGUCUCAAUAAAUAAAUAAAUAAUAAAGUUCCAAAACAGUUCCAUCACAAGAAUCCCUCCUAUUGCCUUUUAUAGCUAUGCCCACUUCCUUCCUGCUCCCACCUCCUCUUUAAACCCUGGCAACCACUAAUCUUUUCAUUUCCAAAAGUUUGUCAUUUCAAGAAUGUUAUAUAAUGGAGUCACACACUACAUAACCAUGUGGUAUUAGUUUUUUGACUUAGCAUAAUUCUCUAAAGAUUCAUCCAAGCUGUUGCAUGUAUGUUUGUUCCUUUUUAUUGCUGAGUAGUAUUCUGUGGUAUGGAUGUACCAGUUAGCCAGCCACUCGUUGAAAGACAUCUGGGCUGUUUCCAGUUUUGGGCUAUUACAAAGAAAGCUGCUAUAAACAUUCACGUACAAAUUUUUGUGUAAACAUUAAUUUUAAAUUCUCUGGUAUAAAUGUCUGAGUGCAACUGCUAGGUCAUAUGGUAGUUGCUCACUUAAUUUUUAUAAGAAACUACCAAACUCUUGUGUAGAAUUACUGUACCAUUUUACAUCUCCAGCGGCAAUGUACGAGUGACCCAGUCUCUGCAUUCUCACUAGCAUUUUUUAUUGUCACUUUUUUAGGCCAAUUGAUAACUAUGUAGCAAUAACUUAUUGUGGUUUUAAUUUGCACUGAUGAUGUUGACUAACUUUUCAUGUGCUUAUUUGCCAUCUGUAGAUCUUCUGUGGUGAAAUGUCUCUUCAUGUCUUUUGCCCAUUUUCUCACUGGAUUGUUUGUUUUGUUUUACUGUUGAGUCUUAAGAGUUCUUCAUAUAUUCUAGAUACAAGUCCUAUGUCAAAUACAUGUUUUGCAAAUAUUCUCUCCCAGUCUAUAGUUUAACUUUUCAUCUAUUUUAUUGCAGAAUGUAAGUAUUUAAUUUGAUGAAGUCUAAUUUAUCCAUCUUUUCUUGUAUGAAUCAUGCUUUUGAUAUCAAGUCUAAGACUUCUUCACUAAUGCCUAGGUCCUGAAGAUUUUCUCCCAUGUUUUCUUCUAAAUAAUUUGUAGUUCUAUGUUUUAUAUUUAAAUCUAUGACUCAUUUUCAGUUAAUUUUUGUGUAAGGUGUGAAGUCUAGGUUGAGGUUUGUCCUUUUGUUUAUGAAUUUCCAAUUGUUCCAGCCUAAUUUGUUGAAAAGGCUGUCUUUCCUCCAUUGAGAUGCUUCUGUACCUUGGUCAAAAAUCAGUUGGGGGCUGGGCGCGGUGGUCACACCUGUAAUCCCAGCACUUUGGGAGGCCGAGGUGGAUGGAUCACUUGAGCUCAGGAGUUUGAGAGCAGCCUGGGCAAUAUGGUGGAACUUCAUCUCUACCAAAAAUACAAAAAAAAAUUAGCCAGGCAUGAUGGCACAAGCCUUUAGUCCCAGCUAUUUGGGAGGCUGAGGCAGGAGGAUCACUUGAGCCUGGGAGACGGAGGUUGCAAUGAGCUGAGAGCACACCACUGCACUCUAGCCUGGGUGACAGAGCAAGACUCUGUCUCAAUAAAUAAAUAAAUAAAUAAAUAAUAAAUAAAUAAAAUUCAGUUGAGCAUAUUUUUGUAGAUCUGCUUCUGAGUUCUCUAUUCUGUCCAUUGAUCUAUGUCUCUCUCUCUCUCUCUCUCUGCCAGUGCCACACAGUCUUAAUGACAGUAGCUAUGUAAUAAGUCUUAAAAUCAGGUAGUGUGAUUCCUCCCACUGUGUUCUUCUUUUGCAAAAUUGUAUUAGCUAUUCUAGUUCCUUUGCCUUUUCAUAUAAAUUUUAGAAUAAUCUUGUCUAUGUCUACAAAAAUGCUUGUUGGAAUUUUGAUAAGAACAACACUAAACUUGCAUAGUAGUUUGAGAGAACUGACAUCUUUACUAUGUUGAAUCUUCCAAUCCAUGAACUCCUGGGUAUGUUUCUCCGUUUUUUUUUAGCUCUUUGAUUUCUUUCAUCAGCAUAUUGUGAUUUUCAACAGACAAAUCUUUUGCAUUUUGUUAGAUUGACACCUAAUUAUUUUUUUGGUGAGAUUAUAAAUGGUAUUGCAUUUUUAAUUUUGAUAUGCACAUGUUCAUUGCUAGUAUAUAGAAUACAGUUUAUUUCUGUAUGUUUGUCUUGUAUUCUGUUACCUUGCUGAACUUGCUUGUCAGUUCUGGGAGGGUUUUUUUUUUAUGGAUUCCUUGAGAUUUUCAUGCCUUCUGCAAAUCAGAGCCAAUUUAUUUAUUUUCCAAUCUGUAUGCCCUUUUUUCCUUUCUUUGUUCUUUGCUUUGCUUUCCUUAUUACAUUGACUAGAACUUCCAGCAUUAUUUUAAAGAAGAGUGAUGAGAGCAGGCAUCCUUUUUUUGUUUCCAAUAUAAAGUGAAAAGUAUUUCAUACUCAAUCUUUCAUUAUUGAGUAUGACCUCAGUUGUAGGAUGUUGUAGAUGGUCUUUAACAAGCUGAAGAAGUUCACACUCCCUCCUUUUUCAAGUGUUUGUCUUAUGAAAGAGUAUUGAAUUUUGUUAAAUGCUUUUUCUGCAUCAAUUGAUAAUGUGAUUUUUCUUUCUUAGUCUGUUAAUAUGAUGGAUUACAUUGAUUUCUGAGUAUUGAACCAGCCUUGCUUUCCUGGAAUAAACCCCACUUGGUCAUGGUGUAUGAUUCUUUUUAUAUAUUGCUGAACUGUAUUUGUUGGCUUUUUUGGAUAAUUUUUCUAUUUUUCUGAGGGAUAUUGGUCUGUAGUUUCUUGUUUUUUUUUUUUUGUUUUUUUUGUUUUGUUCUGUUUUGUUUUGUUUUGUUUUUGUAUAUGGUCUCUUCCAGUUUUGGUGACAGGGUAAAACUGACUUCAUAAAAUGAGUUGAGAAGUCUCCCCUCCUCUUCAGUGUUCUGGAAGAGAUUAUAUAGAGUGAAUUAUUUUUAAACUUUUGGUAGAAUUGUCCAGUGAAACCAUUUGGGCCUAGAAAUUUAUUUUGAGGGAGGUUUUUUAAAUUACAAAUUCAAUUUAUUUGAUAGUCAUAUGACUAUCCAAAUUAUCUCUUUCAUAUUGAGUGAGUUAUGGUAGUUUGUAAUUUUCAAAGAACUGAUACAUUUUAUCUAAGUUGUAAAAUUUAUGUGUGUAGAGUUGUUCAUAGUAUUUCCUUACUGUGCUUUUGAUAUUCACAGGAUCUGUAUCAAUAUCCUCUGUUUUAUUCCUGAUAUUGGUGAUUUGUGUCUUCUCCCUUUUUUUCUUUGUCAGUCUUGCUAGAAAUUUGUCAAUUUUAUUGAUCUUUUCAAAGAACCAGCUCUUUUGUUGCAUUGAUUUCCCACUCUUAAAGUCCUGGAACAUACCUCACUUGGUCAUGAUGAAUUAUUCUUUCAAUGUAUAUUCUGAUUCCAUUUCCUAAUAUUUUGUUUUUAGAUUUUGCAUUCAUGUUUACAAGACAGAUUGGUCCGAAAUGUUCCUUUUUUCAUAAUACCAUUGUCCAGUUUUGGUAUCAAGGUUUGUCUAGUUAUUUGGCUAGGCUUAUAAAAAGAAUUGAGAAGUAUUCCUUCUUUUUCUUUUCUCUAGAGAGAUUUUUGUAAUACUGAUGUUAAUAAACACAUAUAGUUUAAUACACUUAGAUAUAUUUGGUGUAAAUAGUUUCA
rnacentral:lncRNA from 1 species